CUUGAAUACUGGACAUGUUGGGUUUGUCCUCGAGAAAGAAGGCACAGAGAGCUCUCCACCAAGGAAGUGUUUUUUUGAAAAGAUCCUUUUGGAGGAGACCCCGCCCAUCAGGUCAGGUGCUUUCUUGGGACUACAUGGAUUCAUGAUAUGGAGGCUGCAAAUGCAGGAUGUAGCAAAGAGAUGGAAACGAAGUCACCAGUGCACGUCGAAGCCGCUGCCUCGUUAUGCCUGAGCAUCCAAGACACUGUGACUUCCAGAGAGGCAACGUGGAGAUCGGCCUUGGACCUGGAGGCGACCUGUUGGGCAAGAGGCUGAGCUGCCCCUGCAUCACCAGUCACUGCUCUUCAGAGAAGAAGGCCAGAAGCAAGGACCCCCAAGCGACUUCGCUGCUUCCCGAGCUAGAGUCUACAAUGGCCCCCGAGGACCACUACCAUCAGCUUAUGUCGGCCCUGAGUGAGGCCAGCUCCUUUGAGGAAACUCAACGUCUCUACCACUUGGGUAUCCCCAGCCACGGUAUGUGCCACCCCCACGGCCGGCGCUCAGACUUCAAGUGAGCCAAGUCUCUCUUACCUUCCCAUCCCACUAAGCCAACCCCACGAAAAAGAUCUGGAUGCUUGGAGGUCAACACCAAGACCAGGAUUGAAUACAUAGAAGGGCUUCCAGGUAGUGACGCAGCCUCACUGCCCUCAGUCCUCUACUGUGCGUCCCCGAGGAGCCCAGGUGAGGGUGGGACAGAAUUUGUUCACCUGUUCUUUGUUGAAGAGAUGUGGCCUCUGGCCUGUGCUAGUUUCUCCCAGAGUGGUCAGUGCAAUACGUGAAUCUGUGGUCGUGUUGAUGCUGUGUCAGACUUUACAGGUUUUGUUGAUACACAGGGAGGAGGGCAUGGCAAAAAUAGGAACCUGCGUCACAGUCAGGAUGCACCCCAGGUUGCUUGAGGGAAGCCAAGCCUUGAGGCGCUGUCCUUGCUACCUAGGACUUGAGAGACACCCUGUGCUGCUACAGCACCGGACAAAUCUUGUCUUUUCUGGCAGAAGUGGACGGGGGCUCAGAGAAGGGAAAAGGAUUCCUGAUUCUUGCAGAAGGCGCUGUUCCCUAGGGCAGCAGCUCAGGCACCGAGAGCCUGAAUAAUUCACUAAAUGUUAAUAAUUUAAAAAUCUUUCUUUUUAAUUGCUUACCCAGCUCUGCUGGCCUGUGCAGGAGACUGUGCAAGCAAGCUGGCUGUCAAUCACCAUUGCAUGGCGCAUGACUGGGGUGGCCUGGGCUUAUUAGGGUCUGGGAUUUGGCUUCAAGCCCUAGCUAGGCCCACGUCCCUUUUUCAGCUACGUGAUUUAUAAACAGGCAGAGCGGUAGAGAAGUGGAGCUUGAGCAGGUGGAUUAAAGGGGCUCGGAGCCUCCGCUCUUCCUAAAUGCAAUGGGGGCACAACCAUGCAGGUCUGUGAUUGUGUGUUGCUGCUAGUCAGUGGUAUCUGCUAUUAUAACCAUGUAUGCUAUGAAUCGCUUUAUAGGGACGGCAAGUCCUUCCUGUUCUUGUCUCCUGUCUAGAAAGGAGUUACCUGGGCAGGCUUCUGUUUGAGGUCCCCUCCUAAUCCAUAGACUCUUGUCCCACUCACCUACUUGGAGCAGCCCUAUGCCCUUCCACCUCUGACCUUGUGAAUAUUCAAACCAAAUUAGCACUAAUACUCUACAUGUUGGAGCCUUUCUUCUCCAGUUUCGAUGACCUACUUAUUCACAUUCCUUUUCAAGUUCACUUGCCUGGCUACAGCAUGUAGGUGUUAAAGCAAAGUGCCUUCCCUGCUGAUCCUCUAGCCUGUGACACAAAAGCAGGCUCAGGACAUGUGAGAGUCUCCUCCUCCCACUCUGUUCAUACCUUCACCAGGCCAAUGCCCUGCUCACCAAGAUGGAAAGGGGAAAUCCUACGGGAGCUUAUCAGGGGGGCCCGCUAUCACCUCCCUUCUCAGAUCUGCUUAGGGUACGCCAGGAAGUAGCAACUGCAACACUGAGGGGUCCCAGUGGCUUGGAAGUUCACCUGCCCUCGUCUACAGCAGACCAUCGACGGAAGCAAGGCCUAGUUCAGCGCCGGGAAGGGGCGGUUCCAGCUGCUGCCACAUCUUUCUCUGAAAGGGAAAUGUCACAGCCACCCCCUUUGCUGUCACCCCAGAAUGCCGCCCACAUCACAAUGAGCUCCCAUCUCCGGCCUCCUUUUCUGGGGAUGCCCACAGCUGUGUGUCAGACCCCAGGUUUCAGCUUCCUACCCUCCGCCCAGGCUGAGAUGUUAGCUCGGCAGCAGGAACUUCUACGGAAGCAGAGCCUGGCUCGGCUGGAAAUGUCAGAGUUGCUUAGGCAGAAAGAACUGGGCAGUGUUCACCGGCCACUGCUACCGGCACCAGAGGUGGCCUUGCAUAUCCCCGAGGGUCCCGACGAACUGCAGCGACGUGGCUCCAUGCUGGUUUUGAAACACAGCUCAGCACCACUACUGGCCCUGCCACCCCAGGGACCCCCAGGCCCAGGACCCCCUAUCCCACCCAAGGAGUCUGCUCGAAGCCGGUCCGAAAAGGGGAGCCUUGGUGUCCAGCCCAGCCAACCCAAGGAGACGACAGGGGCUGGCCUCUGGGCUCAAGAAGUCUCUGAGGAGCCAUCCAAGGACUCAGAUGGAGAGGACCCCGAGACAGCAGCUGCCAGGGAAGGGACCUCCACUCCCAGCCAAGUCCCAGCAGGAGGGACCAGAGCAGAAGGAAGGGGGCUUCUAUCAGGGUCCACACUGCCCCCUCCACUGCCCCUGGGAUUCCCUUGCGGGGCAGUGAGCCCCUACUUCCACACAGGUGGGCAGCCUUAGCCACCCACUGAUAGGGGAUCCCGUGGGGAGAAAAAUCAUUUGUCAUUAAGCCAAAGACUUUACCAAUUCAGAGAAAGGUCAGCCAGUGGGGAAGGAGGCAAAGAAAUGGGAAAGCCCAAGCCCUAGUGACAUCCUUUCUAUCUCCAGGUACCAUGGGGGGGCUCUUCACUGAUGAGGAGACCACAACCCUUGAGGAUGUCAACAAGUGGACUGUAGAUGAUGUCUGCAACUUCGUGGGGGGCCUUUCUGGCUGUGGCGAGUAUUCGGAGAACAAGGAAUAGACGGAGAGACUUUGCCUCUACUGACAGAAGAGCACCUUCUGAACACCAUGGGACUGAAGCUAGGGCCUGCCCUCAAGAUCAGGGCACAAGUGGCCAAGCGCCUGGGCCGUGUCUUCUACAUGGCCAGCUUCCCUGUGGCCCUGCCGCUGCAGCCACCAAGCCUGCAAGCACCUGAGCUCAGCCCAGGACAUCAACCUCUGUCGCCAGCAACCACCACCUCCCCGUAUGAAGGGACCCACCUGCCCACAGGACAAGCCUCACCCAAGCAGGAGAAUGGGUCAGGGACCAUAGCUCUGCUUUCAGGUGCCCCAGACCCUUCCCAGCUUCUCCAAUGAUCCGGCAGGCAACCGUCAUACUCCGUGAUUCCCAGUCAAAUUGCUAACCUCACUCCGCCCCCAGGGUAUUUCCCCUUUUUAGAUGCAAAAAUGCCGAGAGUAUUUUUAAAAGGAAAACAUAAGGCUUAAGAAGAAAAGCAAUGAGCUGGGCAGAGGUGGCGCACGCCUUUAAUCCCAGCACUUGGGAGGCAGAGGCAGGCGGAUUUCAGAGUUCGCGGCCAGCCUGGUCUACAAAGUGAGUUCCAGGAUAGCCAGGGCUACACAGAGACACCCUGUCUCGAAAAAACAAACAAACAAACAAACAAACAAAAGUAAUGGGUUUAUCUUCUAGAGGUAACUGCAGUGCUCUGCAGACAAACCAAAGACAAAGUGGAGAGGAGAGGCCAUGGAGCCGCCCUCCCCACUCUGAACUGGGACAACGUCAGGGUCAGCCUUCGGCUUCCGGCAGCAGAAGGCUCUGCAGAAACAGUUCCCUCCCUUUCAGGGUCAAAAUGGCUCCUAGUACACUUGUUCUGCUGUGCUGUAACAAUAAAAGCCUGUUUACGCUCUG